GUUGACGUAAUGGCUUUAAACGACCCGUCUUGAAACACGGACCAAGGAGUCUAACAUAUAUGCGAGUGUUAUUGAAAGGGAAACGAUUGAAGUCUAACAUAUAUGCGAGUGUUUAAACACUCGCAUAUAUGUUAGAGUAUUU
rnacentral:rRNA from 1 species